AAUAUCUUUCAUUGGACCAGCUUCAGUUGGUGAAAAAGAAGCUCUUGAGCGUAUACAGAACUCCUCUUCAGGUCAGCUUAACUAUGAUGACAAGUACUGG